GAUUGUAGUAGCUGGAGCAGGGGGGUGGAGACUUGGGAAGUAGAUUUGUCUCCUUCCACAGCACUGACUGAGCUAGGAAGCAUUCCACAUUCCAACUGGCCAAGAAAAACACAGCCCAGCACUGGUAGGGAGGCAGCCAUCGGGGAACAGCUGAACCACCAUGGUCAUCCAGCCUCUCAAAGACUGUCACCGCAAGAGUGAAGCCAGAGCCUGCGGUUUCCUGUCAUCCUCUCUGGGACACAGCUCAGUCUUCCAAUGACUCAUGGCCAGUGGCGUGCAAAGAUUUCACGUCCCAUCUCCAACAGAGCCCAACCUGUGCAGAGCCACGGCCGUUCCCACUGCUUCUUCCUCAUGGGUUGCUUAAUGAGGGGAUUAAUGAUGACCAGGAUGUGAGUGGACGUCUUCACAUAAGCAGCCCGGCUGUAAAACUGGCCGUGCACAGAAUCCAUUUAAAGGGAUGGAAGAUUGAUGUCCAUGGCAUCCUCUGAACCUAAGAUCCUAAGACAUGUCACCCAUAAUCUGGUCACACCAUCCAAAAGAAACCCUGAAGGCACAGGAACAUGAAAUGUUCAAACAUACUUUGAAGACAAAGCAUAUUUUCUUCUUGUUG
rnacentral:lncRNA from 1 species